UGGUUCCGGCAUCGAUGAAGAACGCAGCGAAAUGCGAUAAGUAGUGUGAAUUGCAGACUUUAGUGAAUCAUCGAAUCUUUGAACGCACAUUGCGCCCUUUGGAAUUCCACUGGGCAUGCCUGUUCGAGCGUCAUCCAACCCCCUCAAGCCCUGCUUGGUGUUGGGCGUCUGUCCGCGGCCCCGCACGGACUCGCCUCAAAGGGAUUGGCAGCGGCCUCGCCGGCCCGUCGCGCAGCACAUCGCGCGUCGAUCGGCCGAGUCCGCGUCCACGCAGACCUCUACAGUUUGACCUCGAAUCAGGUAGGGAUACCCGCUGA
rnacentral:misc_RNA from 1 species